rnacentral:rRNA from 1 species
UACGGGGGGAGGCAAGCGUUGUUCGGAUUUACUGGGCGUAAAGGGCGCGUAGGCGGUCAGCACAAGUCAGUUGUGAAAUCUCCGGGCUUAACUCGGAAAGGUCAACUGAUACUGUGCGACUAGAGUGCGGGAAGGGGCAACUGGAAUUCUUGGUGUAGCGGUGAAAUGCGCAGAUAUCAGGAGGAACACCGAUGGCGAAGGCAGGGUCUCUGGGCCACUACUGACGCUGAGAAGCGAAAAGCAGUGGGGAGCGAACAGG